UUGAGUGGUGAUUUUAUGCAAUGGCUUCAAGCCACAGAUCUUCUCCAGUGCCUCAAGGAAGCAGCAGUGACGUUUUCUUUAAAAAAGAGGUAGAUCCAGCAAAACACAUUCGACCUGUGCAGUCACUGCCAGAUGUGUGUCCUAAGGAACCCACAGGUGAUUCAAAUAGUUUAUGUGUUGCCCCAUCUCUAGUUACAGAUCAACAUAGAUGGACUGUAUAUCAUUCCAAAGUAAACCUCCCAGCAGCAUUAAAUGAUCCUACAUUAGCAAAAAGAGAAUCUGACUUCUUCACAAAAACAUGGGGAUUGGACUUUGUGGACACUGAAGUCAUACCUUCAUUCUACCUCCCACAGAUCAGCAAGGAACAUUUUAUAGCAUAUCAACAGGAAAUCUCUCAGAGAGAGAAGAUCCAUGAGAGAUGCAAGAAUAUUUGUCCUCCUAAAGAUACCUUUGACAGGACUCUUUUACAUAUUCAUGAUAAAUCCAGGACAGAUCUGGAACAAGUACCUAAGGGUUUUUAAAUCUGUUCUGUGAUUUCUUCAAUGACCCAGUGUCCUUCAUAAGUGUAUUGUUUAGUCUCCAAGUAUUGGUGAUCUUUCUGCAGUUUCUG
rnacentral:lncRNA from 1 species